rnacentral:rRNA from 1 species
AACGAACGCUGGCGGCAUGCCUAACACAUGCAAGUCGAACGAGACCUUCGGGUCUAGUUGCGCACGGGUGCGUAACGCGUGGGAACCUGCCCUUAGGUUCGGAAUAACUCCCCGAAAGGGGUGCUAAUACCGGAUAAUGUCUUCGGACCAAAGAUUUAUCGCCUUUGGAUGGGCCCGCGUUGGAUUAGCUAGUUGGUAGGGUAAAAGCCUACCAAGGCGACGAUCCAUAGCUGGUCUGAAAGGAGGAUCAGCCACACUGGGACUGAGACACGGCCCAGACUCCUACGGGAGGCAGCAGUGGGGAAUAUUGGACAAUGGGCGAAAGCCUGAUACAGCAAUGCCGCGUGAGUGAUGAAGGGCUUAGGGUUGUAAAGCUCUUUUACCCGGGAUGAUAAUGACAGUACCGGGAGAAUAAGCUCCGGCUAACUACGUG